GGAAUAUUGGGCAAUGGAGGCAACUCUGACCCAGCCAUCCCGCGUGCAGGAUGAAGGCCCUCUGGGUCGUAAACUGCUUUUGUUAGGGAAGAAACGCUUUUAUUUAUAGAAGUCUGACGGUACCUAACGAAUAAGCACCGGCCAACUCCGUGCCACCAGCCGCGGUAAUACGGAGGGUGCCAGCGUCAUCCGGAUUCACUGGGUGUAAAGGGUGCGUAGGCGGCCUGAUAAGUCAGUGGUGAAAGCUCUCAGCUUAACUGGGAAACUGCCAUUGAAACUGUCAGGCUUGAGUACAAUUGAAGUGGGCGGAAUACAUCAUGUAGCGGUGAAAUGCUUAGAUAUGAUGUAGAACACCGAUUGCGAAGGCAGCUCACUAAAUUGUCACUGACGCUGAGGCACGAAAGCGUGGGUAGCGAAC
rnacentral:rRNA from 1 species